AUUUGUUUGUAUAUCCAGAGCAGAUGGUCGCCCCUUUUAGUCUGGUCUGCUAGAGGUUUCUUCCUCAUAAACACCUGAGGGAGUUUUUCUUGACC